GAUGAACGCUAGCUACAGGCUUAACACAUGCAAGUCGAGGGGAAACGACAUCGAAAGCUUGCUUUUGAUGGGCGUCGACCGGCGCACGGGUGAGUAACGCGUAUCCAACCUGCCCAUCACUUGGGAAUAACCUUGCGAAAGUAAGACUAAUACCCAAUGAUAUCCCACGAAGGCAUCGGAAUGGGAUUAAAGAUUUAUCGGUGAUGGAUGGGGAUGCGUCUGAUUAGCUUGUUGGCGGGGUAACGGCCCACCAAGGCAACGAUCAGUAGGGGUUCUGAGAGGAAGGUCCCCCACAUUGGAACUGAGACACGGUCCAAACGCCUACGGGAGGCAGCAGUGAGGAAUAUUGACCAAUGGGCGAGAGCCUGAACCAGCCAAGUAGCGUGCAGGAAGACGGCCCUAUGGGUUGUAAACUGCUUUUAUAAGGGAAUAAAGUGGGUCACGUGUGACUUUUUGCAUGUACCUUAUGAAUAAGGACCGGCUAAUUCCGUG
rnacentral:rRNA from 1 species